GCCCAAUGAUGAGACCAAGGCGAAUACGAGCUGACUGAAUGAGAGUUGGGUUGCUCUUUGCCUUGACUGGCAGGUAAUCUUGGCAGUGCAGAGGAGCGUUCCUGCUCUGCUGUAAGGGCCUGCCUACAGUGACUUGGCUCACCCAAAUUAUUCCUUUAAAGUUACAUUGGAGUGAUCACAGGGAUGAAGCUGACAGUGUGUUGUGUGUCUGUGUGUGCGUCUGUGUAUAUGUGUAAGAGGUAAGGAGCUCACCCAGCUCUCUUCAAUGUUCAGUCAGCUGUGAGUUGUUUCUUUGGUAAUCUGAGGGCA